UACGUAGGGGGCGAGCGUUGUCCGGAAUUAUUGGGCGUAAAGAGCUUGUAGGCGGUCUGUCGCGUCUGCUGUGAAAAUCCGGGGCUCAACCCCGGACUUGCAGUGGGUACGGGCAGACUAGAGUGUGGUAGGGGAGACUGGAAUUCCUGGUGUAGCGGUGAAAUGCGCAGAUAUCAGGAGGAACACCGAUGGCGAAGGCAGGCCUCUGGGCCAUAACUGACGCUGAGAAGCGAAAGCAUGGGGAGCGAACAGG
rnacentral:rRNA from 1 species